GGUUAGACGGAAAGACCCCGUGAACCUUUACUAUAGCUUCGCAGUGGCAACAGGACCGUUAUGUGUAGGAUAGGCGGGAGACAUUGAAGCAGGGACGCUAGUUCUUGUGGAGUCACCCUUGAAAUACCGCCCUUAACUGUCUUGUUGUCUAACCGCGGCCCGUCUAUCCGGGUCCGGGACCCUGCGUGGUGGGUAGUUUGACUGGGGCGGUCGCCUCCCAAAUGGUAACGGAGGCGCGCGAAGGUGGGCUCAGAGCGGUCGGAAAUCGCUCGUUGAGUGCA
rnacentral:rRNA from 1 species